rnacentral:rRNA from 1 species
AUUGAACGCUGGCGGCAUGCCUUACACAUGCAAGUCGAACGGCAGCGCGGACUUCGGUCUGGCGGCGAGUGGCGAACGGGUGAGUAAUACAUCGGAACGUACCCUGUUGUGGGGGAUAACUAGUCGAAAGAUUAGCUAAUACCGCAUACGACCUGAGGGUGAAAGUGGGGGAUCGCAAGGCCUCACGCAGCAGGAGCGGCCGAUGUCUGAUUAGCUAGUUGGUGGGGUAAAGGCCCACCAAGGCGACGAUCAGUAGCUGGUCUGAGAGGACGAUCAGCCACACUGGGACUGAGACACGGCCCAGACUCCUACGGGAGGCAGCAGUGGGGAAUUUUGGACAAUGGGGGCAACCCUGAUCCAGCAAUGCCGCGUGUGUGAAGAAGGCCUUCGGGUUAUAAAGCACUUUUGUCCGGAAAGAAAUCGCGCUGGUUAAUACCUGGCGUGGAUGACGGUACCGGAAGAAUAAGCACCGGCUAACUACGUG